CCUCAGGGCCAUGUCAUAUUGGAAGCAAUAAUUCUUAUCCAAUCAUUGAAGUUAAGCAAUGUCAAGCCUAGUUAAUACUUAGAUGGGUGAACACUUGAGAAAUCUAGGUACUGUAAGUA
rnacentral:rRNA from 1 species